GUGCCAGCCGCCGCGGUAAUACAUAGGGGGCGAGCGUUGUCCGGAUUUAUUGGGCGUAAAGAGCUCGUAGGCGGUUCAACAAGUCGGUCGUGAAAGUUCAGGGCUCAACCCUGAAAUGUCGAUCGAUACUGUUGUGACUAGGAUACGGUAGAGGUGAGUGGAAUUCCGAGUGUAGCGGUGAAAUGCGUAGAUAUUCGGAGGAACACCAGUGGCGAAGGCGGCUCACUGGUUCGAUACUGACGCUGAGGUACGAAAGUGUGGGGAGCAAACAGGAUUAGAUA
rnacentral:rRNA from 1 species